UACGAAGGGAGCUAGCGUUGUUCGGAAUCACUGGGCGUAAAGCGCACGUAGGCGGCUUUGUAAGUUAGAGGUGAAAGCCCGGGGGCUCAACUCCGGAAUUGCCUUUAAGACUGCAUCGCUAGAAUUGUGGAGAGGUAAGUGGAAUUCCGAGUGUAGAGGUGAAAUUCGUAGAUAUUCGCAAGAACACCAGUGGCGAAGGCGGCUCACUGGCCCGAUACUGACGGCUGAGGCACGAAAAGCGUGGGGAGCAAACAGGAUUAGAAAACCCU
rnacentral:rRNA from 1 species